AGCCCGCUCAGACACUCAAAUGAAUUGACGGGGGCCCGCACAAGCGUGGAGUAUGUGGUUUAAUUCGAUGCAACGCGAAGAACCUUACCUGGUCUUGACAUCCCGGAGACCCUUAGGAAACUAGGGGGUGCUUCCAUCUGGAAGAAUCUGGAGACAGGUGCUGCAUGGCUGUCGUCAGCUCGUGUCGUGAGAUGUUGGGUUAAGUCCCGCAACGAGCGCAACCCUUGCCUUUAGUUGCCAGCAGUUCGGCUGGGCACUCUAAAGGGACUGCCGGUGUUAAACCGGAGGAAGGUGGGGAUGACGUCAAGUCCUCAUGGCCUUUAUGACCAGGGCUACACACGUACUACAAUGGCCGAUACAAAGGGCAGCGACACUGCGAGGUGAAGCCAAUCCCGUAAAAUCGGUCUCAGUCCGGAUUGGAGUCUGCAACUCGACUCCAUGAAGUUGGAAUCGCUAGUAAUCGUGGAUCAGCAUGCCACGGUGAAUACGUUCCCGGGCCUU
rnacentral:rRNA from 1 species